AGUUGCAGAAAACGAGAAACUUACUUUACCAGUGGGAAAUCGGAGCUGACGUUCGUUUAAAACCAAAGAUAGUGGAUUUUUACGAGGAAACACUUCACUCUAAGGCAGUUGGCAUUAAUGUGGCCGGCGUUUACGCGUUGGAUAUGAGCCUGUUAGCACUGUUAUUUGGGCCGUCAAUCACGUAUUUUGCGACACUUUUACAGUUUCAAUUAUCUUCUAUGGAAAGGUCAAUAUAGAAUUCAAUCAAUAUAUAGAAGUCGGAAACGCAAGCGCAAUACAAA